rnacentral:rRNA from 1 species
UACGGGGGGGGCAAGCGUUUGUUCGGAAUUACUGGGCGUAAAGGGCUCGUAGGCGGCCAACUAAGUCACACGUGAAAUCCCUCGGCUCAACCGGGGAACUGCGUGUGAGACUGGAUGGCUUGAGUUUGGGAGAGGAAUGCGGAAUUCCAGGUGUAGCGGUGAAAUGCGUAGAUAUCGAGAGGAACACCUGCGGCGAAGGCGG